GAUGAACGCUGGCGGCGUGCCUAAUACAUGCAAGUCGAGCGAACAGAUGAGGAGCUUGCUCCUCUGACGUUAGCGGCGGACGGGUGAGUAACACGUGGAUAACCUACCUAUAAGACUGGGAUAACUUCGGGAAACCGGAGCUAAUACCGGAUAAUAUAUUUAACCGCAUGGUUCAAUAGUGAAAGACGGUUUUGCUGUCACUUAUAGAUGGAUCCGCGCCGCAUUAGCUAGUUGGUAAGGUAACGGCUUACCAAGGCAACGAUGCGUAGCCGACCUGAGAGGGUGAUCGGCCACACUGGAACUGAGACACGGUCCAGACUCCUACGGGAGGCAGCAGUAGGGAAUCUUCCGCAAUGGGCGAAAGCCUGACGGAGCAACGCCGCGUGAGUGAUGAAGGUCUUCGGAUCGUAAAACUCUGUUAGUAGGGAAGAACAAAUGUGUAAGUAACUAUGCACGUCUUGACGGUACCUAAUCAGAAAGCCACGGCUAACUACGUG
rnacentral:rRNA from 1 species